rnacentral:tRNA from 1 species
UUAAAUGAAACCAAAUAGAGGUCUAUCACUGUUAAUGAUAAUAAUGAAUAUAAAUUCCAUUUAAA